UGGAACGAUACAGAGAAGAUUAGCAUGGCUCCUGCGCAAGGAUGACACGAAAAUUCGUGAAGCUUCCAUAUUUUUU
rnacentral:snRNA from 14 species